GUGCUUGCUUCGGCAGCACAUAUACUAAAAUUGGAAUGAUACAGAGAAGAUUAGCAUGGCCCCUGCGCAAGGAUGACAAGAAAAAAUAAAGUAGGUGUCUACCAAGCA
rnacentral:snRNA from 1 species